GAGGGCGUAGCUCAGUGGUGGAGUGUGUGGCUAGCGUGCGUGAGGUCCUGGGUUCAACCCCAGCACCUCCA
rnacentral:tRNA from 1 species